UCCUACGGGAGGCAGCAGUAGGGAAUCUUCCGCAAUGGACGAAAGUCUGACGGAGCAACGCCGCGUGAGCGAUGAAGGUUUUCGGAUCGUAAAACUCUGUUGUUAGGGAAGAACAAGUUGGGUAGUAACUGACCCAACCUUGACGGUACCUAACCAGAAAGCCACGGCUAACUACGUGCCAGCAGCCGCGGUAAUACGUAGGUGGCAAGCGUUGUCCGGAAUUAUUGGGCGUAAAGGGCUCGCAGGUGGUUUCUUAAGUCUGAUGUGAAAGCCCACGGCUCAACCGUGGAGGGUCAUUGGAAACUGGGAGACUUGAGUGCAGAAGAGGAAAGUGGAAUUCCAUGCGUAGCGGUGAAAUGCGUAGAGAUAUGGAGGAACACCAGUGGCGAAGGCGACUUUCUGGUCUGUAACUGACACUGAGGCGCGAAAGCGUGGGGAGCAAACAGGAUUAGAUACCCUGGUAGUCCACGCCGUAAACGAUGAGUGCUAAGUGUUAGAGGGUUUCCGCCCUUUAGUGCUGAAGUUAACGCAUUAAGCACUCCGCCUGGGGAGUACGGCCGCAAGGCUGAAACUCAAAGGAA
rnacentral:rRNA from 1 species